GCUUUGGUUUCCGAAUCCGAAUCCGAAACACUUAGGAAAAUUUUAUUCAACUGACUCGAGCUCAAGUGGGUACUCUGAAACUACAGAGGUUUGCGCUUUUACAUUAAAUUUAUAAGUUUAAGAUCAAGUAUGGUCGUGAGGUUCAACAGUGUGAAUUACAUAUUCUUUUUUGUCAAAGCAAUUUGUAAUAUAACGGGAUUGCCAUUACAACAUCUCAAAGCUGAGGACUCAACCUUGAGUUAGCACCAGAUUGACAGUCAUUUCCCGAGAAGCAUCUUCCUGAAUUUGAAUAGAUUAAUUUAUCGGAAUUCGGACCUGAUGGGCUAGUCAUUCCGAGGCAAAUCUUCCUAAGAUUUUGAAUAGUUUUUUUAGAAUGAGUAUCCUCAAAGAUUUUUGUCAAUGCCGAAGCACUAAAUAUUCCAACCCAAAACUGCCCAUUCCCCAUAGUACUCAUGUUCUUGUAGUAGAAAACUUGAAUGCUUUAAAUACUGUUCAAAUUCAUUUGUUUGAUUGAAGGUUUCUUGAUAGCUAGCAAUUCAUGGCUUGAGGUUAAACUUUUGUUAGUGCAACUUAGUCUGAUGAAAAUCAAACUUAAUCCGAAGUACUCUCACCUAUGUGGCUUGGUUCCUAUCUGAGCAUAGUUCUCUUGAUUAUAAUAAUUCAAAUUAAUCGGACAGCUUGUAAAACUAUUUGACUGUUUGCUGAGAUACAAAUGGAGUACCACUGGAACUAAAACUACUGCGCAGUACAUUAAAAAAUACCAAGCAAACUAAGAUUAAUUUUUAAUUGAUUGUAGAUUGUGAUUAUAAUUUUACUGGGUGCAUAGAAAAUUAUAAAAAAAUAUUUAAAUUUUUAAAAAUAAUAACCAUUUUAAUGAAAUUUCAAUAUAUCCUGCUAACUUAGUUUGUAGUCCUACAUCUCUUUAAAAUGUGUGGGAGAUUAACCCAGAAUAUAGAUACCUUAGCCACACUAGGGCUGAAAGCUGCAGGAAAAAUUUCAUACAGAUGGUUCUGGUAGUGAUGAAUGUAAUCUUUCAUGAAGGAUCUCAAGAAAUUGGGGUAUGCACCAUACUUCUCUUCAGGCUAAGGUUCAGGUAGGUCAUCCAGGCUCUGUUGUAGCCAGAAUCUCAAGAAAUUGGGGUAUGCACCAUACUUCUCUUCAGGCUAAGGUUCAGGUAGGUCAUCCAGGCUCUGUUGUAGCCAGAAUACCUAUUAAUCACUCGAGGAAUUGCCCUAAACUUAUGUGAAAUCUUGGUUUUGUGAAUUAACAAUGGAAUAGCCAA